CAGGGACACAAAUCCAAACUAUACCAAGCUGUCAUUAGGAAGUACCACAGAUAGAGUGGCUUAAACAACAGAGAUUUAUUUUCUCACAGUUAUAGAGGCUAGCAGUCCAAAAUCAAGGCAUUGGCAGGGCUAGUUUCUCUCAAGGCUUCUCCCCAUGGCUUGCAGAUGGCCACCUUUUCACAGUGUCUUCACGCGGUGUCCCUCUGUCUGUGUAUGCUUCUGUUGUCUUUCCAUGGGUCCAAAUUUCCUCUUCUUAUAAGCACACCAGUCACAUUGGAUUAAGGCCCACCCUGAAGCCUUCAUUGUAGCUUAAUUACCUCUCAGAAGAUUUUUUCUUCAAACAUGGUUAGGUUCUAAGGUGCUGAGAGUGAGGACUUCAACAUCUAAAUUUGGGGCAGGGACACACUUCAGCCCAUAACAGGUGGUGUAUGCACAUGUCAGCUCAAGCACACAAGAUGGAACACAAGUGAGCAAGUGGCUUCUGUGUGAGGAAGGUAGAGAAAAUUCCUCAAGUGUAUAAGGCUCAGGAUGGGAUCCAUCACCUUGGGGCAAAAUGUCCAGCUCUAGUCCCAGUCUGCCAUGUCCUGGCCACAGAACCUCAGGUGGUACGCCUCUUCUCAAAGCCAUGCUUUCAUUGUUUCAGGAGGGAGAAUGAUCAUGGUCUCGGAGGCUGACGGUGAGGAGUUAACAGUGUAAUUUGUGUGUAGCAGUUCCACCAGCUGACAUUUGUGAGAAUGACAACUUUGAAUGACAACUUCCUUUUUAAUUUUUUUUUUCUAAUUUAUUUUUGCUUCCCUUUAGUGAGCUGUAGGGAAACUUUUGGCAUUUUCCCUGCCUCCUGGGGUUUGUUUUAAAGUCCAAGUGCUUAGUAAAUGUCAGCAGUUGGAUUUAAAGAUUCUUGGUAAAACCAGCUUGAGAGACACAAAUGUGCUCAUAGAUUUGUACAUGAUUAGACAACUGUCAAGUGCAGUAGAAAGUAGCCAUUGGGAUUAUUUUCCAAAGGUCUUAGAUGUCUCCACCACUCUGCCUCUUUCUAUGAGCUACUUAAGCUCACCCUCUGUUACCUACUGAAUGAAUGUUUGUUCCCCUCAAAUUUAUGUUGAGAUCCUAACCCCUGAUGUGAUGGUGUUAAGAGGUGAAGUUUUUUUUUUUUUUUUUUUUUGAGAUGGAGUUUUGCUCUUGUUGCCUAGGCUGGAGCACAGUGGCGUGAUCUCGGCUCACUGCAACCUCUGCCUUCUGGUUUCAAGCAAUUCUCCUGCCUCAGCUUCCCAAGUAGCGUGGCCUGGCUAAUUAGUGUAUUUUUAGUAGAGACGGGGUUUCGCCAUGUUGGCCAGGCUGGUCUUGAACUCCUGACAUCGUGAUCCACCCACUUCAGCCCCCCAAAGUGCUGGGAUUACAGGCAUGAGCCACUGUGCCCGGCCGAGGUGAAGUCUUUAGGAGGUGAAUUAGGUCAUGAAGGUGAAGCCCUCAUGAAUGGGAUUAGUGCUCUUAGAAGAGAUACAAGAGGCUAGGCACGGUGGCUCAUGCCUGUAUUCCCAGCACUUUAGGAGGCUGAGGCAGGUGGAUCACUUGAGGUCAGGAGUUCGAGACAAGCCUGGCCAACAUGGUGAAACCCCGUCUCUAGGAAAAAUACAAAAAUUAGUUGGAUGCAGUGGUGUAUGCUUGUAGUCCCAGCUACUCAUGAGGCUGAGGCAUGAGAAUCACUUGAACCCAGGAGGCAGAGGUUGCAUUGGGCUGAGAUCGCACCACUGCACUCCAGCAUGGGUGACUGAGUGAGAUUCGGUGAAAAAAAAUAAAAGAGAGAGAGAUACAAGAGCUUCCUGUCUCUGCUCUCCCCCAUGUGAGAACACUGCAAGAAAACAGCCAUCUGCAAACCAGGAAGAGGGAUCUCACCAGAACCUGACCAUGCUGGCACCCUGAUCACAGACUUCUAGCCUUCAGUAUGUGAUAAAUACAUUUGUGUUGUUUAAGCCACCCAGUCUAUCACAAUUUGUUACAGCAGCUGGAACAGACUAAGGCACACUCUCCACUGGCAUUUCUCAAGGAAAUAUGUAGAAAAGCAAGACCCAUUCCUGUCCUGAAGAGUUAGCAUGGACUGGGGGAGGCCAGAUGGUAAAGCAGUCAGCAAACAAGAUAGAAUGAGGUCUUCUCACCCCAGAAAAUGCCACUUGACGCUGUGAGCAGUCUUAUAGAGGGUAAUUUUAGAUCUUAUUACCCAGCAGGGGUGACUUAAGAGCAGCAAUAUCCCUUGAGCAUGUCUAGACUAGGGAGGAUGAAAGGCAGUCCAGGCGACAUGGGAAACGCUGGAGAGGUGGUGAAGGAGAGGGAGGACACAGAGAACUGGUGUGGAGACAUGUUUGCCUGGCACAUGGCAAGAAGGAGAGCGGCAGAGAAGACCAAGAAGGAAGCUGUGGCUUGAAUGCCAAGUUGGGACAUCUGGACACACCUCCUUAAGUAACAGAAACUAAAACCAGUAUUCAGUAGAAAUUGUCCUCAUCUAAGUUGGGUUUUUGGAAGAUAACUCAAGCACCUAGCAGAGUGGACUAAAGGGGAGCAGCACUAAGCAGGUGGCCCAGCUGUAGGUAUGCCAGUGGUUCAGAAAAGAGGAAGGGAGGAGCUGGUCUGGGUAGAAGCAGUGGGGACAGAGACACUGGGGAGGCGGAGCUGGUGGCCAGGGCAGGGUGUGGGUGGAGAGAAGAGUUUCCUGUUGCUGCUGUUACGAAUCACUACAAAGAUGGUGACUUAAAAAUAACACAGGCCAGGCACAAUGGCUCAUGCCUGUAAUCUCAGCACUUUGGGAGGCCAAGGUGGGCAGAUCAUUUGGGAGGCCAAGGUGGGCAAAUCAUUUGAGGUCAGGAGUUCAAGGACAGCCUGGCCAACAUGGUGAAACCUGGUAUCUAUUAAAGUUAGCUGGGUAUCUAAAAAAUUAGCUGGGCACGGUGGCACAUGCCUGUAAUCUGCUCAGGAGGCUGCUCAGGAGGCUGAGGCAGGAGAAUUGCUUGAACCCAGGAAGCAGAGGUUGCAGUGAGCCAAGAUCGCACCACUGCACUCCAGCUUGGGUGUCAGAGCGAGACUCUGUCUCAAAAACAAAAACGAAAAAAACAAACAACAACAACAAAAAACCAACCCCACCAACUCCUUGCAGUGCUGUAGGUCAGAGUUUUAGCCAGGUCUGACUGGACUAAAGUCAAAGUGUCACAGGCUGCACCCCUUUCUGAAGGCUCUCGGGAAAAAUCCAUUUCCUCAUGAUUUUUUUUCAGCUUCUAGAGGCUGCCCACACUCCAUUCCCUGUGGCCCCUUCCUCCGUCUUCAAAGCCAGCAUCUCUCUGACUUUUUUUGUGUGUGUGAUCACGUCUCCCUCUGACCACAGUUGGGAAAGUUUCUCUGAUUUAAACAAUUCAUGUGAUUAGAUUGGGCCCAUCUGGACACUUUAGGAUAAUCUCCCCAUCUCAAGGUCCUUCAUUGAACCACAUAUGCCAAAUCCCCUUUGCCACAUAGGGUUACGUGAUCACAGGUUUGAGGAAUUAGCAUGUGGCUAUCUUUGGGGGCCUUAUUUUGCCUACCAUAUUCAUUUAGCCACAAGCUCUAAAUCCAGGCAGGAACACCUCUCCCGGGGAGCCCACUGCCUUCAUGCUGGUCCACUGUCCUCUCUAAGUAUUUGACUCUGAAUUACAUGAACAGUCCUCUUUCUUGCAGCAUUCAACCCAAGUUGUCAGCUCCAAACCUAUCUCUUCAACUCCUCUGCCUUCUCCUAAAUAAUGUGAUUUUUUUCCCUCAGUCCCCUGGGCUCCUGCUGUCACCCUGACCUCUCUGUCUCUGCCCAUAUUUCCUUCUUCCCAGAUCAGCACUGCUCACAAGGCCUCCUCUCUUGGUGAUGAACCCUCAGAUGUCUGGAAUAUAGAAAAAACUUCCUUCAGCAAGCUCUUGGUUCAGCCAACGUCUCUGCACCCCCUGAUGCCAAGGGGAGAGCCUUCUGCAGAUACUUCCAGGCCAGCAUCUCCUGCCUUUGCCUGUGUGGAGUCAUCACUGUCUCUGCACUCAGGGACCUGCACAUACAGAAGGAAGGCUCUCUCUCUAUCCCCACAUGGUUGCUGCUGAGAGCAGCAGAAGGCAGCCAAAUGCCUAGGCAGACAGGGGCAGGUCACUGGUGAAACCCCAUCUUCAAGCCGAAGACAGUUUAAAGCCUAAAGCUACAAGUCAAAUCCUCGGACCAGUUUGCAAACUUGUCUUCCCAUUUGUUGCACUUUCCUCUGAUUGAUCCCCACCCUUCACCUAUUUUACAUAGACCUACCCUUUCCUAAUUGGUUUUCUACACUGCCAUGCCCACCUUUGAGUGGUGUCUUCACUUUGACCUUUUUUGCCUACUCACAAACCAAUCAGCAUGCACUUCCCAUUCUGAGUCCAUAAAAGACCCCAGACCCAAUCACAUGGGGGGCCUUUCCCACCUUCGGAUAGGGGAACCACCCCUGGGUCCACUCUUUGCUGACAGCUUUCCUUUUGCUUAAUGAAUUCACUCCACUCACUCUCCAGUAGCUGCACACCUAAUUCUUCCUGGUUGUGAGACAAAAACUCAGGCCUAGCUGAGCUGAGGAGCAGAAAGACUGCAACAUUUUGGUGGCUCAUAUGGGGAUACCUGGAGGGUCAAAGAGAUGUUGGCUUUGUUUCCCUUCAUGGAGGUCUAGCCAUCACGUGGAACCAGAAUAAGGUCCUGGGGCAACUGAAGGCAUCUGGCCGAGGACUUAAUUGCCAGGAGGCCCCUAGACUUGGCUCCACCCCUGACCACCCCAUUAUGGCAUCAGCCAAGACCCGCAGACUUUUCUAUGGUAUUUUUCUUUUCUUCUUUCAUGGUUUGAAGUGGCUCCUAUCUCUUCUUUUACAGCAUUAAGUGUGUUGUUGCAAACUGCAGAAAUAUUACCAGGUAGAAUGAGCAUUUGGCCUAGCCAUCAGAUAUGCAAUUCAGAACAAUGUGAUUUUCAUCUGUUCUUAGAGGCACGUCCCCUACCCCCAUCCCAACAGCCACAAGCACACAUGGUGGACAAAUGGGUGCACCGCAGCUACCCGCUCCCCCCUCCCCUCCUGGCUGGGGCAUGUGGCUGUGUCCAACGCAUGCCUGUGCUGCAUCCAACAGCCACGCAGGGCAGGAGUGAGCCGUGUCUGCUGCCUGGGACCCAGGGAAAUCUUAGGUGCCAGGGGCCCUGCACAGCCAGCUGGUCAGCAUUUUCUGCCCACCGCCCCCUCCCACCACACACCCAUUGAAUCUUUCCUCUCAUGGCUCAGUCUGAACGAGAAGGAGGGUCCAGUGACUAAGAAUCUCUCCCCUUUGGAGGAACCCAUUUGCAUAGAGCAAGAAGUUUUUUCCCCCCAGGCACCUUCCCUGCCCUGCACUUAAGCUGUUUUUUUUUUUUUCUUUUCUCCAACAUGUCGGUAGUUAACACAGCCCUGCGAAUACAGGAAGCUUUUCUAUGUGAGGUUUUUUUUUUUUUUUUUUUUUUUUCCUUUUGAAAGGCAUUUUACUAGGCCAGGACCCAAAAUCACAGAACUCCCUUUUCUCUCCCUUGUUUGAGGAUGACCCAGCUCUACAGCUUUACUUUAGCAUUUGACUUACAUAAGGAAGCAGCAGAGGAGCGACCCUGUUGGCUGUUGGCUGCUGGCUGCAGUCUGGUGAGGACCACCUGGGACUUGAUGAGUCCAUAAACCCUCCUGAGGCAGCUUUUUGUCUCAAACUCAAUUCCAAGCUUCAGACUGAAGCCCUAGUAAGGAAAACGGGAUCUGAGGGAUCCAGAGGCAGAUGACAAUGGAAGUCAAGGGGCACAGCACAGAUGAUUGUUGUCAUGCUUUGAUCCUUUGCAAAAGCUAUAGGACUUUGACAGGUGCUGUCAAAUGCAGGUUUCUGAUAGCUUUGGAGAUUGUGACAUUGGAAUAGAGGGGAACAUACAGGACUCAUGAAGAACUGAAAUGCUUAUGAAUA
rnacentral:lncRNA from 1 species